rnacentral:rRNA from 1 species
UACGUAGGGUGCAAGCGUUAAUCGGAAUUACUGGGCGUAAAGCGCGUGUAGGCGGCCAUCUAAGUCGGGCGUGGAAAUCCCACGGCUCAACCGUGGAAGUGCACUCGAAACUGGAUGGCUAGAGUCCCGGAGAGGAAGGUGGAAUGCUUGGUGUAGAGGUGAAAUUCGUAGAUAUCAAGCGGAACACCGGUGGCGAAGGCGGCCUUCUGGACAGUGACGUGACGCUGAGACGGCGAAAAGCGUGGGGAGCAAACAGGG